UCUCAUCAGGAGAAGGCCUGUAUAAAGAGAGAGUGCCUGCUGCAAACAGCAGCCACACAGAGUCAUGGAUCAGUUUACAUUGUACUUCUCUCUCCUGUUGGCGUUCCUACUUUAUAAUGCUCAACCAGCAGCUCCAACAGGCUGUGCAGGUCCACCCCUGCUGUGUUGUCCUGGUCAAAACGACUCCUGCUACAGGGGAUGUUAUUGUGAUGAGGCCUGCUUGAACUUAGGCGGCUGCUGUCCUGACUACAUUUCAACCUGUGUGCAACGUGAGUGAGGGUGAACACAAAAAAUUUAAAAAUACACUGUUAUGUCAGUUUAGGAUUUGAGAUGAGGUUUAAUAUUAAUAGUGCAAAUCUUUAUUCUUGAUUACAGCUUUAACCACUGCACCGCCAAGCACACCCAGCACAACA